AUUGAACGCUGGCGGCAGGCCUAACACAUGCAAGUCGAGUGGAUGAAGGGAGCUUGCUCCUGGAUUCAGCGGCGGACGGGUGAGUAAUGCCUAGGAAUCUGCCUGGUAGUGGGGGAUAACGUCCGGAAACGGGCGCUAAUACCGCAUACGUCCUGAGGGAGAAAGUGGGGGAUCUUCGGACCUCACGCUAUCAGAUGAGCCUAGGUCGGAUUAGCUAGUUGGUGGGGUAAAGGCCUACCAAGGCGACGAUCCGUAACUGGUCUGAGAGGAUGAUCAGUCGCACUGGAACUGAGACACGGUCCAGACUCCUACGGGAGGCAGCAGUGGGGAAUAUUGGACAAUGGGCGAAAGCCUGAUCCAGCCAUGCCGCGUGUGUGAAGAAGGUCUUCGGAUUGUAAAGCACUUUAAGUUGGGAGGAAGGGCAGUAAGUUAAUACCUUGCUGUUUUGACGUUACCAACAGAAUAAGCACCGGCUAACUUCGUG
rnacentral:rRNA from 1 species